GGGUUGUGAGGUUAAGCGACUAAGCGUACACGGUGGAUGCCCGGCAGUCAGAGGCGAUGAAGGACGUGCUAAUCUGCGAUAAGCGUCGGUAAGGUGAUAUGAACCGUUAUAACCGGCGAUUUCCGAAUGGGGAAACCCAGUGUGAUUCGUCACACUAUCAUUAACUGAAUCCAUAGGUUAAUGAGGCGAACCGGGGAACUGAAACAUCUAAGUACCCCGAGGAAAAGAAAUCAACCGAGAUUCCCCAGUAGCGGCGAGCGAACGGGGAGGAGCCCAGAGCCUGAAUCAGUGUGUGUGUUAGUGGAAGCGUCUGGAAAGGCGCGCGAUACAGGGUGACAGCCCCGUACACAAAAAUGCACAUGCUGUGAGCUCGAUGAGUAGGGCGGGACACGUGGUAUCCUGUCUGAAUAUGGGGGACCAUCCUCCAAGGCUAAAUACUCCUGACUGACCGAUAGUGAACCAGUACCGUGAGGGAAAGGCGAAAAGAACCCCGGCGAGGGUGAAAAGAACCUGAAACCGUGUACGUACAAGCAGUGGGAGCCUCUUAAUGGGGUGACUGCGUACCUUUGUAUAAUGGGUCAGCGACUUAUAUUCUGUAGCAAGGUUAACCGAAUAGGGGAGCCGAAGGGAAACCGAGUCUUAACUGGGCGUUAAGUUGCAGGGUAUAGACCCGAAACCCGGUGAUCUAGCCAUGGGCAGGUUGAAGGUUGGGUAACACUAACUGGAGGACCGAACCGACUAAUGUUGAAAAAUUAGCGGAUGACUUGUGGCUGGGGGUGAAAGGCCAAUCAAACCGGGAGAUAGCUGGUUCUCCCGAAAGCUAUUUAGGUAGCGCCUCGUGAAUUCAUCUCCGGGGUAGAGCACUGUUUCGGCAAGGGGUCAUCCCGACUUACCAACCCGAUGCAAACUGCGAAUACCGGAGAAUGUUAUCACGGGAGACACACGGCGGGUGCUAACGUCCGUCGUGAAGAGGGAAACAACCCAGACCGCCAGCUAAGGUCCCAAAGUCAUGGUUAAGUGGGAAACGAUGUGGGAAGGCCCAGACAGCCGGGAUGUUGGCUUAGAAGCAGCCAUCAUUUAAAGAAAGCGUAAUAGCUCACUGGUCGAGUCGGCCUGCGCGGAAGAUGUAACGGGCUAAACCAUGCACCGAAGCUGCGGCAGCGACACUAUGUGUUGUUGGGUAGGGGAGCGUUCUGUAAGCCUGUGAAGGUGGCCUGUGAGGGUUGCUGGAGGUAUCAGAAGUGCGAAUGCUGACAUAAGUAACGAUAAAGCGGGUGAAAAGCCCGCUCGCCGGAAGACCAAGGGUUCCUGUCCAACGUUAAUCGGGGCAGGGUGAGUCGACCCUAAGGCGAGGCCGAAAGGCGUAGUCGAUGGGAAACAGGUUAAUAUUCCUGUACUUGGUGUUACUGCGAAGGGGGGGACGGAGAAGGCUAUGUUGGCCGGGCGACGGUUGUCCCGGUUUAAGCGUGUAGGCUGGUUUUCCGUGCAAAUCCGGAAAACCAAGGCUGAGGCGUGAUGACGAGGCACUACGGUGCUGAAGUGACAAAUGCCCUGCUUCCGUGAAAGCCUCUAAGCAUCAGGUAACAUCAAAUCGUACCCCAAACCGACACAGGUGGUCAGGUAGAGAAUACCAAGGCGCUUGAGAGAACUCGGGUGAAGGAACUAGGCAAAAUGGUGCCGUAACUUCGGGAGAAGGCACGCUGAUAUGUAGGUGAAGCGACUUGCUCGUGGAGCUGAAAUCAGUCGAAGAUACCAGCUGGCUGCAACUGUUUAUUAAAAACACAGCACUGUGCAAACACGAAAGUGGACGUAUACGGUGUGACGCCUGCCCGGUGCCGGAAGGUUAAUUGAUGGGGUUAGCGGUAACGCGAAGCUCUUGAUCGAAGCCCCGGUAAACGGCGGCCGUAACUAUAACGGUCCUAAGGUAGCGAAAUUCCUUGUCGGGUAAGUUCCGACCUGCACGAAUGGCGUAAUGAUGGCGGCUGUCUCCACCCGAGACUCAGUGAAAUUGAACUCGCUGUGAAGAUGCAGUGUACCCGCGGCAAGACGGAAAGACCCCGUGAACCUUUACUAUAGCUUGACACUGAACAUUGAGCCUUGAUGUGUAGGAUAGGUGGGAGGCUUUGAAGUGUGGACGCCAGUCUGCAUGGAGCCGACCUUGAAAUACCACCCUUUAAUGUUUGAUGUUCUAACGUUGGCCCCUAAUCGGGGUUGCGGACAGUGUCUGGUGGGUAGUUUGACUGGGGCGGUCUCCUCCUAAAGAGUAACGGAGGAGCACGAAGGUUGGCUAAUCUCGGUCGGACAUCAGGAGGUUAGUGCAAUGGCAUAAGCCAGCUUGACUGCGAGCGUGACGGCGCGAGCAGGUGCGAAAGCAGGUCAUAGUGAUCCGGUGGUUCUGAAUGGAAGGGCCAUCGCUCAACGGAUAAAAGGUACCCGGGGAUAACAGGCUGAUACCGCCCAAGAGUUCAUAUCGACGGCGGUGUUUGGCACCUCGAUGUCGGCUCAUCACAUCCUGGGCUGAAGUAGGUCCCAAGGGUAUGGCUGUUCGCCAUUUAAAGUGGUACGCGAGCUGGGUUUAGAACGUCGUGAGACAGUUCGGUCCCUAUCUGCCGUGGGCGCUGGAGAACUGAGGGGGGCUGCUCCUAGUACGAGAGGACCGGAGUGGACGCAUCACUGGUGUUCGGGUUGUCAUGCCAAUGGCACUGCCCGGUAGCUAAAUGCGGAAGAGAUAAGUGCUGAAAGCAUCUAAGCACGAAACUUGCCCCGAGAUGAGUUCUCCCUGAGACUUAGAGUCUCCUGAAGGAACGUUGAAGACGACGACGUUGAUAGGCCGGGUGUGUAAGCGCAGCGAUGCGUUGAGCUAACCGGUACUAAUGAACCGUGAGGCUUAACCUUACAACGCCGAAG
rnacentral:rRNA from 1 species